rnacentral:rRNA from 1 species
UACGUAGGGUGCGAGCGUUAUCCGGAAUUAUUGGGCGUAAAGCGUCCGCAGGUGGCACUUCAAGUCUGCUGUCAAAGACCGGGGCUUAACCCUGGAAAGGCAGUGGAAACUGAAGCGCUAGAGUGUGGCAGGGGUAGAGGGAAUUCCCGGUGUAGCGGUGAAAUGCGUAGAGAUCGGGAAGAACAUCGGUGGCGAAAGCGCUCUACUGGGCCAUAACUGACACUCAGGGACGAAAGCUAGGGGAGCGAAUGGG